rnacentral:rRNA from 1 species
UGCAGUCGAGCGACAGAUGAGAAGCUUGCUUCUCUGAUGUUAGCGGCGGACGGGUGAGUAACACGUGGGUAACCUACCUAUAAGACUGGGAUAACUCCGGGAAACCGGGGCUAAUACCGGAUAAUAUUUUGAACCGCAUGGUUCAAUAGUGAAAGACGGUUUCGGCUGUCACUUAUAGAUGGACCCGCGCCGUAUUAGCUAGUUGGUAAGGUAACGGCUUACCAAGGCGACGAUACGUAGCCGACCUGAGAGGGUGAUCGGCCACACUGGAACUGAGACACGGUCCAGACUCCUACGGGAGGCAGCAGUAGGGAAUCUUCCGCAAUGGGCGAAAGCCUGACGGAGCAACGCCGCGUGAGUGAUGAAGGUCUUCGGAUCGUAAAACUCUGUUGUUAGGGAAGAACAAAUUUGUUAGUAACUGAACAAGUCUUGACGGUACCUAACCAGAAAGCCACGGCUAACUACGUGCCAGCAGCCGCGGUAAUACGUAGGUGGCAAGCGUUAUCCGGAAUUAUUGGGCGUAAAGCGCGCGUAGGCGGUUUCUUAAGUCUGAUGUGAAAGCCCACGGCUCAACCGUGGAGGGUCAUUGGAAACUGGGAAACUUGAGUGCAGAAGAGGAGAGUGGAAUUCCAUGUGUAGCGGUGAAAUGCGCAGAGAUAUGGAGGAACACCAGUGGCGAAGGCGGCUCUCUGGKCUGUAACUGACGCUGAUGUGCGAAAGCGUGGGGAUCAAACAGGAUUAGAUACCCUGGUAGUCCACGCCGUAAACGAUGAGUGCUAAGUGUUAGGGGGUUUCCG